GACGGGGUUUUGCCAUGUUGGCCAGGCUGCUCUUGAGAUCCUAAUCUCAGAUGAUCAUCCCACCUCAGUCUCCCAAAGUGUUGGCAUUACAGGCAUGAGCCAGUAUGCCCGGCCAAGAGUUUUAAUCAAAAAGGGAUGCUGGAUUUUGUUUAAUGCAUUUUUUGCAUCUAUUGAGAUGAUCAUGUGAUUUUUUUGUUUUUAAUUCUGUUUAUGUAGCAUAUCACAUUUAUUGACUUGCAUAUGUUAAACCAUCCCUGCAUGCCUGGUAUGAAACCCACUUGAUCAUGGUGGAUUAUCUUUUCGAUAUGUUGUUGGAUUCAGUUAGCUAGUAUUUUGUUAAAAAUUUUAGCAUCUAUGUUCAUCGGGGAUAUCAGUCUGUAGUUUUCUUUUUUUGGUUAUGUUCUUUCCUGGUUCUGGUAUUAGGGUGAUGAAUUAGGGAGGGUUCCUUCUUUUUCUCUCUUGUGGAAUAGUGUCAAAAGGAUUGGUACCAAUUCUUUGAAUGUCUGAUAGAAUUCUGCUGUGAAUCCAUCUGGUCCUAGACUUUUUUUUGUUGACAAUUUUUUAGUUACCAUUUCAGUCUUUUUAGUUACCAUUUUAAUCUGCUUGUUAUUGGUCUGCUCAAGGUAUCUAAUUCUUCCAGAUUUAAGCUAGGAGGAUGGUAUUUUUCCAGGACUUUAUCCAUCUCUUCUAGGUUUUCUAGUUUAUGUGUGUAAAGUUGUUUAUAGUAGCCUUGAAUGAUCUUUUGUAUUUCAGUGGUGUCAGUUUUAGUAUCUCCUAUUUUGUUUCUUAGUGAGGUUAUUUGGAUUUUCUCUCUUCUUUUCUUGGUUAAUGUUGCUAAUAGUCUAUCAAUUUUAUUUACCUUUUCAAAGAACCAGCUUUUUGUUUCAUUUAUCUUUUGUAUUGUUUGUUUGUUUCAAUUUCAUUUAGUUCUGCUCUGAUCUUGGUUAUUGCUUUUCUUCUGCUGGGUUUGGGUUUGGUUUGUUCUUGUUUCUCUAGUUCUUUGAGUUGUGACCUUAGAUUGUUCGUGUUCUUUCAGACUUUUUGAUCUAGGCAUUCAGGGCUAUGAACUUUCCUCUUAGCACUGCCUUUGCUGUAUCUCAGAGGUUUUGAUAGGUUGUGUCAUUACUGUCAUUCAGUUUGAAGAAUUUUUAAAUUUCCAUCUUGAUUUUGUUUUUGACCCAAUGCUCAUUCAGGAGCAGGUUAAUUUCCAUGUAUUUGUAUGGUUUUGAAGGUUCCUUUUGGAGUUGACAUCCAAUUUUAUUCCACUGUGGUCUGAGAGAGUGCUUGAUAUAUUUUCAAUUUUCUUAAAUUUAUUGAGGCUUGUUUUAUGGUCUAUCACAUGGUCUAUCUUGGAGAAAGUUCCAUGCGCUGUUGAAUAGAAUGUGUAUUCUGCAGUUGCUGGAUGAAAUGUUCUGUAUACAUCUGUUAAGUCCAUUUGUUCCAAGGUAUAGUUUAAAUCCAUUGUUUCUUUGUUGACUUUCUGUCUUGAUGACCUGUCUAGUGCUGUCAGUGGAGUAUUGACCUCCCCCACUAUUACUGUGUUGCUGUUUAUCUUAUUUCUUAGGUCUAUUAGUAAUUGUUUUAUAAAUCUGGGAGCUCCACUGUUACGUGCAUAUAUGUUUAGGAUUUUAACCACUGUUGCUUUAAAGUUUGUUUUGUCUGAUAUAAGAAUAGCAAUGCCUCUUUGCUUUUGGUGUCAUUUGCAUGAAAUGCCUUUUAUACCCCUUUACUUUAAGUUUAUAUGAGUCCUUAUGUGUUAGGUGAGUUUCCUGAAGGCAGCAGAUAGUUGGUUGGUGAUUCUUAUACAUUCUAUGGUUCUAUAUCUUUUAAGUGGAGCAUUUAGGCCACUUACAUUCAAUGUUAUUAUUGAAAUGUGAAGUACCGUUGCAUUCAUCACGCUCUUUGUUGCCUGUAUACUUUGGUUUUGUUUUUGAUUUUUAACUUUUUUUUUUGCUUUAUAGAUCUGUGUGAUUUAUGCUUUAAAGAGGUUCUGUUUUGAUGUAUUUCCAGAAUUUGUUUCAAGAUUUAGAGCUCCUUUUAGCAGUUCUUUUAGUGGUAGCUUGGUGGUGGCAAAUUCUCUCAGCAUUUGUUUGUCUGAAGAUGGCUGUAUCUUUCCUUCAUAUGUGAUACCUAGUUUCACUGGAUACAAAAUUUUUGGCUGAUAACUGUUUUGUUUGAGGAGGCUGAAGAUAGGUGCCUAAUCCCUUCUAGCUUUUAGGGUUUCUGCUGAGAAAUCUGCUGUUAAUCUGAUAGGUUUUCCUUUAUAGGUUACCUGGUGCUUCUGUCUCACAGCUCUUAAGAUUCUUUCCUUUGUCUUAACUUUGGAUAACCUGAUGACAAUGUACCUAGGCAAUGAUCUCUCUGUGAUGAAUUUCCUGGGUGUUCUUUGUGCUACUUACAUUUGGAUGUUAAAGUCUCCUUCAAGACCGGGGAAGUUUUCCUCGAUUAUUCCCCCAAAUAUGCUUUCCAGGCUUUUAGAAUUCUCUUCUUCCUCAAGUACACCGAUUAUUCUUACGUUUGGUUAUUUAACUUAAUCCCAGACUUCUUGGAGGUUUUGUUCAUAUUUUCUUAUUCUUUUUUCCUUGUCUUUGUUGGAUUGGGUUAAUUCAAAGACCUUGUCUUUGAGCUCUGAAUUUCUUUCUUCUACUUGUUCAGUUCCAUUGCUUAGACUUUCCAGAGCAUUUCACAUUUCUAAAAGCGUGCCCAAAGUUUCCAGAAUUUUUGAUUGUUUUUUUCUUUAAGCUAUCUAUUUCCAUGAAUAUUUCUCCCUUCACUUCUUUUAUCAUUUUCUGGAUUUCCUUGGAUUGGGCUUUGCCGUUCUCUGGUCCCUCCCUGAUUAGCUUAAUAACUAACCUCUUGAAUUCUUUUUGAGAUAAAUCAGGGAUUUCUUCUUGGUUUGGAUCUAUUGCUGGUGCACUUGUGUGAUUUUCUGGGGUGUUGAAGAGCCUUGUUUUGCCAUAUUACCAGGGUUGGUUUUCUGGUUUCUUCCAUUUGUGCAGGCUCUGUCAGAGGGAAAGUCUAGGGCUGAAAGCUGCUGUUCAGAUUCUUUUGUCCCACACUGUGUUCCCUUGAUGUACUACUCUCCCCCUUUUCCUAUGGAUGUGGUUUCCUGUGAGCCAAAGUACAGUGAUUGUUGUCUCUCUUCUAGCCACCCAGCAAGUCUACCUGGCUCCGGGCUGGCACUGGGGGUUGCCUGCACAGAGUCCUGUGAUGUGAACUGUCUAUGGGUCUCUCAGGUGUGGAUACCAGCACUUAUUCCAGGGGAGGUGGUGAAGGGUGCAAUGGAUUCCAUGAGGGUUUUUAGCUUUGGUGGUUUAAUGCUCUAUUUUUGUGCUGGUUGGCCUCCUGCCAGGAGGUGGCGAUUUCCAGAAAGCAUCAGUUGUAGUAGUGUGCUGAGGGAACUGUGAUGGGUGGGGCCCAAGAACUCCCAAGAGUAUAUGCCCUUUGUCUUCUGCUACCAGGGUUGAUAGGGAAGGACCAUCAGGUGGGGGCAUGGCUAGGCAUGUCUGAGCUCAGACUCUCCUUGGGUGGGUCUUGCUGUGGCUGCUGUUGGGAGUGGGGGCAAGAUUCCCAGUUCACUGGAGUUGUGUACCAAGGAGGAUUAUGGCUGCCUCUGCUGAGUCAUGCAGGUUUUCAAGGAAGAGGGGGAAAGCCGGCAGUCACAGGCCUCACCCUGCUCCCAGGCAAACUGAAGGGCUGGUUUCACUCCCACUGAGCCGCCCCAACAGCCUGAGUCUGUUUCCAGGGAGAGGGCAAGAGGGGCUUGAAAACUUGCCCAAGGCUAUCUGCCUCCCAGCAGCCACAGAAAAGGGCUUUAGUUCUUCCCCUGCCUGUGAAGUCUGCAGGCCUGAUUUGGGCCCUCCCCCGAGUUCUGGCAAGGAGGCUUCUCGCCCUGUUCAAAUUGUUACAAAGUUCAGCUGGAGAAUUCCUUCUCCCUGUGGAGUUUUACCCCCUGCUCCUCUGGCCACCCUCCCAAUGGAUCCCUGCGGUGUCAGGCAGGAAUGGGCUGCUUGGUGACCCAGAGAGCUCCCAGGACCUUGCUGCUGCUUCUUCUGCCGCUGUAUUUCACUGGGCUCUCUAAGUUGACUCAGCUCCAGCUACAUAUCUGUGUGAGGCCAAUUUUCUUCAUAUACUUCAAAACAACAGAAGAAUCCAGAUGUUUUCUAUUAACCAGAUGUUGGAAAGACUCAACCAACAUUUCUGAAAGCUUUGAGGCCUUUGCCAUCACAUGCUAAGAGGAGUAAAGUGAAGAAGCUAGCAAAUGAAACAUGUACCAAGAAUAUCUGGGGUGUCUGCUUGCUUAUCUAUCUCCUGAGACAUUUUUGUCAGAAUACAGUGGCUGAAGCGUUUAAAAGGAAAGGUACAUCCAGAAAAAACUCCUGGAAUUGGGAUUUCAAAAUCUUAUUUCCAUUUUAUUCAAGUUAUUUCCUCUUUCUGCGGCAGCAAGGCAAAACUGAUGAACAAAGAGCAGCUUAUUAUUAGGAAUUAAGUAUUAAGGAAUUAUAACUUCAGCGAGGAUGCCAUGCCUCCUGGCUUAACUAGAAUGCAGUCUCUCUGACUCUCAACCCUAGCUUACCCAAGAAGCUAGAGAAUCCUGUUACCAAAUCUGUAUGGUUCUGGGUGAACUACAGGAAACAUACUGAGGUUUGAGAAUUUGAUGGCGCUUUCUGCUGAAUGACAGACGAAAGACUGGUUUAUAAAAUUGUAUGAGUUUUUAGAAAAGUUUAUCUACCUCCUACCUAUCAGAAAAUAUGAGUUAGUGUUUGCUAAUAUAAUUCAUUAUGAAACAACAUAAAAUCAUGCCUCAAGACAGAUAUAAAAAUAUAAAUUCUCUCAUCUUUAGAACUUUGUUUUCAAGUUUAUACAUAACAAUGUUAUGAACUCUGUAGGAGUUUAAUUUUUUCUUUGCUGAAACUGACACAAAUAUUCAUUUAGAAAAUAUUUAUUCCCAUCAUCUCCUAAUGAAUUACAUGUAAUUUAUGGAUAUUAAAAUUUGAAUAAUUUUGAAAUAAUUAGAGCUUUUUUGAAAAGAAAAAUCUCAAUAUCUCUUCUGUACUAGUAAUGGAGUUACUAAGUUGCAGAAAAAUGUCACUAUAAAAACACAAGAAAAACAUUUUUAUUAACAAAAACCACAUUCCUAAGGAAAUGAAAUCAAGGCAAGGUACUUAACGGCAGAUUCAUCUUGGAGAUUAUAAUCCUAAUGUUUUCACACUCUUACUCAAACAUCUGGCACUCGACUCUAUCACUCAUUGGGUCAUUUUUCCUCUUUCAACAAGGACUUACUCAUAAACGUCAUAUCUUUAUACAGAGGUUUACAUAACUAAGAGUAGACAUUUUCAGAUAUCUGUAAUGCAUAAUAUAUUAAUAACAUUUAAAUAAAAUGUAAGCCUUUAUGCUUUCCUAAGAUAUGUGUAAUCAGAAAAAUAAUAACACAGUACAAUUUCCUUAAGGCACCUAUCACAAAACAAGUUGCUGAAAGCUUUGUAUACAUGAAUGUUAACACCUCAAAAUUUCAGUAAGAUCUUUAUCAAGACCAGACAUUAUGCUCCAUUCUGGGCCUUUUGUUUAACUGAGGUAAAAUGUACUGUACAAUGUAGUAAGUCUAGAUAAUGUUUCCCUGAGCAAAGAAAGCUACCUUGUGCUCUCUCCAGCCAAUCCCCACCCACCACUAGGAAACUACUAUUCCAAUUUAAGUCACAUAGUUUGGUUUUUGCUUUUUCUUGAACUUGAUGUAAAUGAACCAUACAGUAAGCACUCCUUUGUGUCUGACUUUUUUCCCUGAAAGUUUUUAAGAUCUGGGUUGUAUGCGUCACUAGUUCAUUCUUUUCAUUGCUGAAUAGUAUUCCAUUAUAUGCAUAUACAUAGUUUACCCACAUUAUGAAUAAAGAUGCUAUGAACAUUCAUGUGC